rnacentral:rRNA from 1 species
AGUGAACGCUGGCGGCAGGCCUAACACAUGCAAGUCGAACGGCAGCACAGUAAGAGUUUGCUCUUACCGGUGGCGAGUGGCGGACGGGUGACGAAUACAUCGGAAUCUACUUUUUCGUGGAGGAUAACGUAGGGAAACUUACGCUAAUACCGCAUAUGACCUACGGGUGAAAGCAGUGGAUCUUCGCACCUUUCGCGACUGAACUAGCAGAUGUCGGAUUAGCUAGUUGGCGGGGUAAAGGCCCAGCAAGGCGACGAUCCGUAGCUGGUCUGAGAGGAUGGUGAGGCCCACUGGGACUGAGACACGGUCCAGGCUCCUACGGGAGGCACCAAUGGGGAAGAUUGGACAAUGGGGGGAAUCCUGCUCCAGCCAUAGCGGCUGGGUGAAGAAAGCCCUCGGGUUGUAAAGCCCUUUUGUUGGGAAAGAAAAGCAGCGGGUUAGAACCCCGCUGUUCUGACGGUACCCAAAGAAUAAGCACCGGCUAACUUCGUG